rnacentral:rRNA from 1 species
CCCAGACUCCUACGGGAGGCAGCAGUAGGGAAUCUUUCACAAUGGGCGCAAGCCUGACCCAGCAACGCCGCGUGAAGGAAGAAGGCUUUCGGGUUGUAAACUUCUUUUAUCAGGGACGAAGCAAGUGACGGUACCUGAUGAAUAAGCCACGGCUAACUACGUGCCAGCAGCCGCGGUAAUACGUAGGUGGCAAGCGUUAUCCGGAUUUACUGGGUGUAAAGGGCGUGUAGGCGGGAGUGCAAGUCAGAUGUGAAAACUAUGGGCUCAACCCAUAGCCUGCAUUUGAAACUGUACUUCUUGAGUGCUGGAGAGGUAAUCGGAAUUCCGUGUGUAGCGGUGAAAUGCGUAGAUAUACGGAGGAACACCAGUGGCGAAGGCGGUCUGCUGGACAGCAACUGACGCUGAGGCGCGAAAGCGUGGGGAGCAAACAGGAUUAGAUACCCUAGUAU